UGCACGUACUUGCACGGCACGAUAUACCAGAUGCAAAAUAUAGCUUUGAGAAGAGUGUUGGGGCAGAAAUAAAAGCCGCCAGUUUCCACUUCUACUGUGGAAACUGUGUGACGCUCCUUGCCGAAACAAGUGGCGACCUUGCCGAACGAAAUUCAGUGCGGGUAACGUGCACCGUGUGCGCACAACGUUACAGAGGCCCGCAGAUGCUACGAGAAGCCACUUUUUCAUAACGCUGCCCAUCGCGAAGUUGCUGUCUUCAUUACUUGCAGAAAAUGAUGCCAGCACUGCACUCCACGAAAAACUCGAGUCUAUACACAAGAGUCUGUCUGAUGACAAAGAUGAAAUGACAGAUAUAACAGAUGGCACCCUAUACAGAACCCUUAGUCACAAACUGACGUCAAAAAAUAACAUAACCCUCACUGUUAACAGUGACGGAAGCCCCGUCUUCAAAUCGUCAAAAUUUUCUGUGUGGCCCAUUCAGGUGAUGGUGAAUGAACUCCCAGUGCACAUUAGGCAGAAAAAUGUGCUUGUGUCUGCCCUAUUUGUAUGACCAGAAACAUCCUGAUAUGACUCUUCUAUUAAACACAUUUGUAGAACAAAUGGAUGGAUUGUCGACCAACGGCAUCACAUGGAAGGCAGGCAACCAAACUGUGCAUUCCAAGGUGUACUGCUUCAGCUGCCGCGCUGAUGCGCCAGCACGGGCAGCCAUGCAGCACUUAACCAAGUUUAACGGGUAUUACGGCUGUGGAUGGUGCUUGCAUCCUGGGGCUGCUGUGGAUGGAACGGUCAAGUAUCCUGUGGACACUAUUGCACCUGAUAGGACAGCAGAA